rnacentral:rRNA from 1 species
UGGGGAAUAUUGCACAAUGGGCGCAAGCCUGAUGCAGCCAUGCCGCGUGUAUGAAGAAGGCCUUCGGGUUGUAAAGUACUUUCAGUCGGGAGGAAGGUGUCAAGGUUAAUAACCUUGGCAAUUGACGUUACCGACAGAAGAAGCACCGGCUAACUCCGUGCCAGCAGCCGCGGUAAUACGGAGGGUGCAAGCGUUAAUCGGAAUUACUGGGCGUAAAGCGCACGCAGGCGGUUGAUUGAGUCAGAUGUGAAAUCCCCGGGCUUAACCCGGGAAUUGCAUCUGAUACUGGUCAGCUAGAGUCUUGUAGAGGGGGGUAGAAUUCCAUGUGUAGCGGUGAAGUGCGUAGAGAUGUGGAGGAAUACCGGUGGCGAAGGCGGCCCCCUGGACAAAGACUGACGCUCAGGUGCGAAAGCGUGGGGAGCAAACAGG